rnacentral:lncRNA from 1 species
AGUGACAGUGGAGAAUAUCUCUGUAACAUGUCAACACCUCACUACACAAAACUCACAGUGAGAACUUUGGAAGUUGCUUGGUUUCUGUCUGAAACUAUAGGGUGUUCUAGAUGGCAGCGACUAUACACAUGGUAUAUAUAUGAAGGAGGGGAGUUAGUGUAAAGAAAAGUGUUGAGUCAGACAAACAUACCUCCUUGAAGCUCACAUUCCAGCAUGAUCGUCCUUAUCCUGUAAACCUAAGUUUACGGCCGAGUGUAGAAAUUUCCAAAAAAUGUUUUUGAACAAGAUGCGGCAGUGGAAAGGAAACCUGAAAUAGAAGAACUGUAGAUGAACAAAUGAGUCCUUCAAAUGUGAGUGUUCUCAUAUUGAUGAGAGGAGCUGAAACAAUGCUGCCUAGAACCAGAGCCAACCUUGGCUAGAUGGGCUUUUGUGUCCUGUGGAAUCUGUUGGUACCACCCACUUCUGCAAAUCAACAUUCAGAUAACACUUGGAAAACUGUGACAUUACUUGUACUGGUGCUGAUAGGACUGGCAGUAAUAGGACUGGCAGCGAUAGGGGUCUGUCUCUGUCGCAAGGUACGUACAAACAUUAUGGUAUUUACUUUUGAGCAUACUAUUAAGCUGAAUUUCAGACCUUGAAUGUUUGACCAAAACAGAUUUGAUUUUCAUGGGAUAAAGGAUGCAAACAACACUGAAAAACUUAGAAUAACGAAUCUCAGCUUAAGUAAACUGCCCUAUUUUUUCUAUAUUCUGUGUCCAAAAAGCCCUCCUUAGCACAUCUAGGCAAUAGUAUUUUAGUUGUAACAAUGCUAACAUGCCCUUUCCUUGACCAGAUUGCUCUCCUGCACUCUAUAGAAAGAUGAAAAAAAUUGAUUACCUGUCACAAAUACUUGCUGAUAGCUUGCUUUGAAAAUAAUCAGUUUUGUAAUUUUCUCUCACAUUUAUUUAAGACAAAUAAAACCAGCAAAGAUCCCCA